rnacentral:rRNA from 1 species
AGUGAACGCUGGCGAUAGGCCUAACACAUGCAAGUCGAACGGCAGCACAGUAAGAUCUUGCUCUUACGGGUGGCGAGUGGCGGACGGGUGAGGAAUACAUCGGAAUCUACUUUUUCUUGGGGGAUAACGUAGGGAAACUUACGCUAAUACCGCAUACGACCUACGGGUGAAAGCAGGGGAUCUUCGGACCUUGCGCGAUUGAAUGAGCCGAUGUCGGAUUAGCUAGUUGGCGGGGUAAAGGCCCACCAAGGCGACGAUCCGUAGCUGGUCUGAGAGGAUGAUCAGCCACACUGGAACUGAGACACGGUCCAGACUCCUACGGGAGGCAGCAGUGGGGAAUAUUGGACAAUGGGCGCAAGCCUGAUCCAGCCAUACCGCGUGGGUGAAGAAGGCCUUCGGGUUGUAAAGCCCUUUUGUUGGGAAAGAAAAGCAGCAGGUUAAUACCCCGCUGUUCUGACGGUACCCAAAGAAUAAGCACCGGCUAACUUCGUG